UACGUAGGGGGCAAGCGUUGUCCGGAAUCAUUGGGCGUAAAGAGCGUGUAGGCGGCUCGGUAAGUCCGCUGUGAAAGUCCAGGGCUCAACCCUGGAAAGCCGGUGGAAACUGUCAAGCUUGAGUCCGGAAGAGGCGAGUGGAAUUCCUGGUGUAGCGGUGAAAUGCGCAGAUAUCAGGAGGAACACCAAUGGCGAAGGCAGCUCGCUGGGACGGUACUGACGCUGAGACGCGAAAGCGUGGGGAGCAAACAGG
rnacentral:rRNA from 1 species